AGUGGCGCACGGGUGAGUAACGCGUGGGAAUAUGCCCAGUAGUGGGGGAUAACCAAGGGAAACUUUGGCUAAUACCGCAUACGCCCUUCGGGGGAAAGAUUUAUCGCUAUUGGAUUAGCCCGCGUGAGAUUAGGUAGUUGGUGAGGUAACGGCUCACCAAGCCGACGAUCUCUAGCUGGUCUGAGAGGACGACCAGCCACACUGGAACUGAGACACGGUCCAGACUCCUACGGGAGGCAGCAGUGGGGAAUAUUGGGCAAUGGGCGCAAGCCUGACCCAGCCAUGCCGCGUGAGUGAUGAAGGCCUUAGGGUUGUAAAGCUCUUUCGCCGAUGAAGAUAAUGACGGUAGUCGGAGAAGAAGCCCCGGCUAACUUCGCGCCAGCAGCCGCGGUAAUACGAAGGGGGCUAGCGUUGUUCGGAAUUACUGGACGUAAAGCGCGUGUAGGUGGUGUUGCAAGUCAGAGGUGAAAUCCUGAGGCUUAACCUCAGAACUGCCUUUGAAACUGCAACGCUAGCAUCCGAGAGAGGAUAGUGGAAUUCCCAAUGUAGGGGUGAAAUCCGUAGAGAUUGGGAGGAACACCAGUGGCGAAGGCGGCUAUCUGGCUCGGUAUGGACACUGAGACGCGAAAGCGUGGGGAUCAAACAGGAUUAGAUACCCUGGUAGUCCACGCUGUAAACGAUGAAUGCUAGUUGUUGGGG
rnacentral:rRNA from 1 species